rnacentral:tRNA from 1 species
GUGGCUUAGUGGUAGAGUGCUUGCCUAGCAUGCAUGAGGUCCUGGGUUCGAUUCCUCAGC